GAAGAGUUGGACAUUUUGCCAUGCCAAAAACGGUAACACUGAUGGUGACCCCUAUAGCCAUUAUGGCGUAACAUGCCAGUUUGGUUAUUUUGCCCCUAAGGGCAAUCCCAAAAAUAUAAGAUUUGGGGAUAUAAGAUUUGUACUUUACGCUUGAACGCCUUUCAUUUAAGACCUAUAUUAUCCUGAUCGGUCUAUAUGUCCUUAAAAUUUUCCUUCUUCCUUCUUGGUCUUUAUCUUUUGCGUUUAUUUACGGUAGAAAAAACAAAUUUUUGUUGACAAUUUUUGUUUUGCUCUCAAUAACGUAGAUAAAUAAUUGCAAAAAUGUGGUUUCCUCAAAAAAAAACUUGAUUCUUUGAAUUGCUACAUCAGCAAAGUAGUCCGCAUUUACCAUCACAUCAGACAGGUUAUUUCACUUUUUUUGUUUCACACCAAUACAGCAUGUUUUUGUUUUUUGCGCGUCACUAACGUUGUUAAUUUUAUAUGCCUCACGCCAUACAAUUACUGAGAUUUUGUUACUACGAGUAUUGCAAGAUAAGAGAUAGUUUUGUAAACAUAAAAAAAAUUAAAGAUAAGUCUAGAUUUGUUUAUAUUUUCUUUCUGACUGACUGCCCCUAGAGCUAGAGAGUUGCAAUUAAUGUAAGGACAAAAUUUAGAUGUUAGCGUUACACUAUGCUGAUUUUCCGAUUAUUUAAAAAUAAUUUGUAACCCCCAUCGUUUGUAAUAAUAGUAUUCUGCUUAUUAGUUAAUAUGCACUGUGUUACAAUGCAAUGCAUGAUAAAAAUAAAUUAAAAUAAUUGAAAAUACACAUGUCAUUAUAUUGAAAGCCAAACUGCAUAAAUCAUUAAUCACUCUGCUCUUUUAACCAGGGAGGGUAAAUGAGUCUGUUGAAAUAGUGCCAAAGCGUAAAGAGGGUACUUGUGGUUUAGGUAUCAAUUUACUAGAAUUGAUUUGAUUGCAAUUUAAGAAUGGAAAUAUAUCUUUAGAUCUUAUCAGAUGGCAUGUAUUUGUCAUAUGCAAUGCAAAUUUGCCCCUGAACAAACUUCUCACAUAUUACAGAGAACUGUCCGAUUCAGGUUUAAGCUCAAUGAUAAGGGACCUCCGUUUUAUAACCGUGUCUGAACGGCGUGCUGCAGUGCGACAUCACUUUGGAGAGAAGUUUUUACAUGGCAUAGUACCUCACAAAAAUCGCCAGCAUUAGGAGGGGACAACCAAAAAAAUAUUUUCUAAUAUUCUUGCCAGUAUACUCUGGCGUUCAGCGUCAUAGGCGGACAUGCAGACCUCUGCGCUAUGUUGGCCUGUCAUACCAUAUGACAUGACAGGUUUAACAACUCUGAAAUUUGCACACAUCGUCUGGCACAUAUGAAACAAUUACACUGGUACUCACAAAAUUUUAUGUAGUUUGAAAUAGUUUUAUUUGACAGAUUUCUUUUAUGGAACUGUCAAAUUAACAUAUUUUGAGGUUUCAUUAAAAUUUGUGAAUACGGCCGUUAAUGUUUAGAAAGUUCUCUGAACUUUCGGGGACCAAUAUCGAUUUGGACCAAACUUGGCAUGGAUUUUAAAACGACUCAAGAAGUGAACUCUGGAGAUCGACUUAUAUGGGUGCUAUAUCACCUUAAAGACCGAUGUGAUCCUAACGGGGAAGUUUGCCCCUGUUCCUUAGUGGAAUGUUCAUGGGCAAAAUUUGCAUUUGAACCUAACUGGGUGUGCUUGUUUGAAGAAAUAUUAUCUGAUUCGAUGUGUCCUCUCAUAAUAUCCGAAUUUAUGUGCCCAAGAAGUCAAAUUGUGAAAUCGACCGUUUUGUAUCAUUUUUGGCAAAAAUGUGCAAAAUUUUAGCGAAAUCGAAUAAUUACUACUACCGUCAAAUCUAUCGAAAGGAGCUAUAUCAUAACCAGUGUUGCCACUCAACACUGAAAACAAUUUAAGGAAAAAUCCUUCCAAACUCAAACCUGUUACAAUCAAUUUCAUUCUCAAUUUCAAAUUCCAACCCCAUGGCAGCCGGUUGUACGUACUGGAUUGACCCGAUGAAGUCCUUCAUCGGCAAGGGAUGUCGCCUCAGUGUACAACACAGUGCCACCACAACAACAAUAAAUUUCAGAACUUGCGGCCUUUUCCCUGAAAUUUGAAGCAGUGAGACUCCUUGUUACAGUAAUUAGCCCCUCACAUCUAUGGUUUUAUUCUGCACCAACAACGAAUACAAUACACAAACGACAAAAUGUAAUAUAACUUUAGUUAUACCCGGUGA